UUCACUGGACAAGUGUUUUACGCUUUCUUCAGCAUAACUUUAAAUGGACAUUGUUUUACCCCGUUCUGCAAAGGAGCUGGUAUUUCUACAACUCAUGCUGUCAUGAGGCUGUGAGGGGUGCUGAAGAUGUCCGAUAGUUUGGAUAUUGAAGAGAAACCUCCAGCCCCGCCGUUGAGAAUGAACAGCAACAAUCGCGAUUCCUCAGCACUAAACCACAGCUCAAAACCGCUCCCCAUGGCCCCGGAGGAGAAGAACAAGAAAGCCAGGCUUCGCUCCAUCUUCCCAGGAGGAGGGGAUAAAACCAACAAGAAGAAAGAGAAAGAGCGUCCUGAGAUCUCUCUUCCUUCAGACUUUGAACAUACGAUUCAUGUGGGGUUUGAUGCUGUCACUGGAGAAUUCACACCAGAUCUCUAUGGCUCACAGAUGUGCACAGGGAAGCUUCCAGAGGUGC